GGCGACACCGACAUCCGGGCACCACUGUCCGUGUGGAGCGCCGGAGGGGGGAGGGGGAGCGCGCGGCCAGGGGCUUUGUCUUUCCACUAGGGCUCCGCCUCCUUCUUAAAGGCACCGCGCUCGGCCACGCCCGGAGAUGCGCGGGUGGGGCUCACGGAAGGAGGGGUUGGCGGGAAGUAACCCGGAGACUUCAUCGGCAUAGGUUCUGUUGAGACAAAACCAAGGACUUAAGCCUGGGCAACAGCAUCUGAAGACAGUCUGAGAGACUGCUCAGAAGAGGCCAUCCAGCAGUGAAGAGAGCUUAUCUCCCUUCAGUAGCCAUUUCUUCUAAGAGGAUUAGGAGAAACCUCAGAGGCCGUGGCAUUUGAGCUGAUUGUGAAGAGAUGAAGUUGCAGCUCGCUAGGCAGAAAGAAAAGAGGGAUGGACAUCCUAGGCAGGAGGAGCAGUAGAGCAGACUUGAUAAAUUCAGGGCCUAAACAUAGGGAUCUCCAGGCAGAAAGUAUCAAGAGAGGAGAAUGGCAAAGGAAAGUUCUCAUUCUGCCACAGCAUUUGAGGGUUGAAUGGGACUGAUCACGUGGAAGGGAAUGGCAGGAGCAGUGAUAGGGGCAAAUGGUCAGCAAGGUCAGUGAAGACAAGUGGCCGGACUUGAGAGGCACAGACAAGAUGACUAAGGGCAUGGAUGCUUGCAGGACUAGACACCUAAUGGCAGACUACACGCAGAGUGAAAACUCCAAAAACAUUGUGAGGGGGGAGGGAAAUGGGGGGCCAUUUCUGGUAUUUCCAAAAAUGCACCCAGUUGCGUAUCAGAAUGGGCACCAUAGUCAUUCCGGUGCUUAUGGCCGCUGUGGACCGGAACCCAGCCCUGGUGUUGGUAAAGCAGAGAUCUAAAAUGGGAGACUCAGGGAUGGGCUUGGGCUCAGCCCUAAGAACUGGAGGUACCCUGGAGAACCAUCAAGAACAGCUGGAAAUCCUGCCGGAAGUAGAAACUAGAGGUGGGGCUUUAUGAAUAGAGAGUAUCAGCUGCAGCUCCACAAAAAGGAGCUGAGAAGUGGCUCUCCAAAUAAAAAACAGUGCUUACCUUGGAGAGACAGGAGUUAUGGGUGGUUGUUAUUUUUUCUUUCAUUAUAUUUUCAUGUAUUUUUCCAGUAUGUUUUUCUAUAGUGAUAUUUUCAUUUUAAAAUAGAAAAAAUAACAAGCUUUAAUGUGACUGUUGCUUGGCAGUUGUCCUCCAUUUCUAUGGCUCCAGUUUAACACUCAUCUUUCACUGAUACAGACCUAAACCCUUGAUUAGGCGGUUUCAGCUUCUGUCACUUUUUUUCAUUGUGCCAUGCAACUUAAGAGGAUAUAGUUCCCUGACCUAGGAUCAAAUCUAUGUCCCCUGUAGCAGAAGUCUGGAAUCCUAACAACUGGAUGGCAAGGGAAGUCCCUACAGUUUCAACUUCUGGCUGGUCUUUUCCGGCUUGUCCUGUUGGUUCCUCAACCUCAGAACAUCCCAAAUCCAUUGUCUUUUAUUAUUUCCCUUCCCUCCAUCGCCUUGGGGGAGGGGCAAGUGGGAAGUGAGGGUUUAAUGGGUGCGGGUUUCUGCUUGAGGCAAUGAAAACAUCUGGAGCUGUAGAGUGGUAAUGAUUGUGCGUUGCUGUGAAUCCACUUGGUGCCACUGAACUGUGUACUUUAAAAUGUUUAAAAUGGCAAAUUCUACCGUUGUGUAUUGGUUACCACAAUAAAAAGUUAAAGGAAAA
ensembl:lncRNA